rnacentral:rRNA from 1 species
AGCGGCGGACGGGUGAGUAAUGCUUGGGAAUCUACCUAGUAGUGGGGGAUAACGUGUGGAAACGCACGCUAAUACCGCAUACGUCCUACGGGAGAAAGCAGGGGAUCUUCGGACCUUGCGCUAUUAGAUGAGCCCAAGUCGGAUUAGCUAGUUGGUGGGGUAAUGGCUCACCAAGGCUACGAUCCGUAGCUGGUCUGAGAGGAUGAUCAGCCACACUGGGACUGAGAUACGGCCCAGACUCCUACGGGAGGCAGCAGUGGGAAUAUUGCACAAUGGGCGAAAGCCUGAUGCAGCCAUGCCGCGUGUGUGAAGAAGGCUCUAGGGUUGUAAAGCACUUUCAGUAGGGAGGAACAGCUUAAGACUAAUACUCUUGAGCCUUGACGUUACCUACAGAAGAAGCACCGGCAAACUCCGUGCCAGCAGCCGCGGUAAUACGGAGGGUGCGAGCGUUAAUCGGAAUUACUGGGCGUAAAGCGCGCGUAGGUGGUUUGAUAAGCUAGCUGUGAAAGCCCGGGGCUC